rnacentral:rRNA from 1 species
UACAGAGGUCUCAAGCGUUGUUCGGAUUCAUUGGGCGUAAAGGGUGCGUAGGCGGCGCGGUAAGUCGGGUGUGAAAUCUCGGGGCUUAACUCCGAAACUGCAUUCGAUACUGCCGUGCUUGAGGACUGGAGAGGAGACUGGAAUUUACGGUGUAGCGGUGAAAUGCGUAGAUAUCGUAAGGAAGACCAGUGGCGAAGGCGGGUCUCUGGACAGUUCCUGACGCUGAGGCACGAAGGUCAGGGAAGCAAACGGG